ACCAAGGUUAACAAGGUUCACAAAUACCAAGGUUAACAAGGUUAACAAAUACCAAGGUUAACAAGGUUAACAAAUACCAAGGUUAACAAGGUUAACAAAUACCAAGGUUAACAAGGUUAACAAAUACCAAGGUUAACAAGGUUAACACAUACCACGGUUAACAAGGUUAACAAAUACCAAGGUUAACAAGGUUCACAAAUACCAAGGUUAACAAGGUUAACAAAUACCAAGGUUAACAAGGUUAACAAAUACCAAGGUUAACAAGGUUAACAAAUACCAAGGUUAACAAGGUUAACAAAUACCAAGGUUAACAAGGUUAACAAAUACCAAGGUUAACAAAUACCAAGGUUAACAAGGUUAACAAAUACCAAGGUUAACAAGGUUAACAAAUACCAAGGUUAACAAGGUUAACAAAUACCAAGGUUAACAAGGUUAACAAAUACCAAGGUUAACAAGGUUAACAAAUACCAAGGUUAACAAGGUUAACAAAUACCAAGGUUAACAAGGUUAACAAAUACCAAGGUUAACAAGGUUAACAAAUACCAAGGUUAACAAGGUUAACAAAUACCAAGGUUAACAAGGUUAACAAAUACCAAGGUUAACAAAUACCAAGGUUAACAAGGUUAACAAAUACCAAGGUUAACAAGGUUAACAAAAACCAAGGUUAACAAGGUUAACAAAUACCAAGGUUAACAAGGUUAACAAAUACCAAGGUUAACAAGGUUAACAAAUACCAAGGUUAACAAGGUUAACAAAUACCAAGGUUAACAAAUACCAAGGUUAACAAGGUUAACAAAAACCAAGGUUAACAAGGUUAACAAAUACCAAGGUUAACAAGGUUAACAAAUACCAAGGUUAACAAGGUUAACAAAUACCAAGGUUCACAAAUACCAAGGUUAACAAGGUUAACAAAUACCAAGGUUAACAAGGUUAACAAAUACCAAGGUUAACAAGGUUAACAAAUACCAAGGUUAACAAGGUUAACAAAUACCAAGGUUAACAAGGUUAACAAAUACCAAGGUUAACAAGGUUAACAAAUACCAAGGUUAACAAGGUUAACAAAUACCAAGGUUAACAAGGUUAACAAAUACCAAGGUUAACAAGGUUAACAAAUACCAAGGUUAACAAGGUUAACAAAUACCAAGGUUAACAAGGUUAACAAAUACCAA